rnacentral:rRNA from 1 species
CAUUGGAAUCGAAUCUUGAACGCAUAUGUCGCGGCCUCGGGUCCAUCCCGGGGCCACGCCCGUCUGAGGGUCGGCGA